rnacentral:rRNA from 1 species
UGAGGCCUGCCGUAAAGGCACCCUUUAAAAUCAGUGGCAGUGCCGUCCGGCUCUAAGCGUAGUAAAUCCAUCGCUAUAGACUCGGGCGGACGCUCGCCAGAACACCCCAUUUUUAAUGAUUGACCUCGGAUUAGGUAGGGAUACCCGCUGAACUUAAGCAUAUCAAUAAGCGGAGGAAAAGAAACCAACAGGGAUUGCCUCAGUAACGGCGAGUGAAGCGGCAAAAGCUCAAAUUUGAAAUCUGGCUCUCUCAGGGUCCGAGUUGUAAUUUGUAGAAGAUGUUUCGGGUGUGGCUCCGGUUUAAGUUCUUUGGAAUAUUACAUCAUAGAGGGUGAGAAUCCCGUAUGUGACCGGCAGCCUUCGCCCAUGUGAAACUCUUUCGACGAGUCGAGUUGUUUGGGAAUGCAGCUCAAAAUGGGAGGUAUAUUUCUUCUAAAGCUAAAUAUAGGCCAGAGACCGAUAGCGCACAAGUAGAGUGAUCGAAAGAUGAAAAGCACUUUGGAAAGAGAGUUAAACAGUACGUGAAAUUGUUGAAAGGGAAGCGCUUGCAACCAGACCUGCACGCAGUUGAUCAUCCGGGGUUCUCCCCGGGGCACUCGGCUGCGUUCAGGCCAGCAUCGGUUUUGGUGGUUGGAUAAAGGCCUUGGGAAUGUGGCUUCCUUCGGGGAGUGUUAUAGCCCUCGGUGCAAUGCAGCCUACCGGGACCGAGGACCGCGCUUCGGCUAGGAUGCUGGCGUAAUGGUUGUAAGCGACC